rnacentral:lncRNA from 1 species
CAGUAAAUGUCCUCCGGCGGUGUGAAACGACUUCGCUGCCUCUGAUCCUCUUUCUUUAUUUCUCUGACCUCUCUCAUGCCUGCGUCUCUGAAGGGGGGUUACACAGCGCUCCACCUCGCCUCCAUCCACGGCCACCAGCCCGUCGUGCACGCCCUCAUCAGCUGCCACAAUGCUAAACCCUCCCUCAGAGAUUAUCACGGUAGGACUGCGUCUCACUACUGGAGCGGCUGCAGCGACGUCUUUAACAGACCUCCCCCUCAGUCAGGCGUGAGUUUCUCAGGCGUGAGACGGACGCAGCGUUACGCUCUGCCCUCUCUGCUGACCCGCUCUCGCAGUCAGGGACAGAUCAGCCUGUUGGAGUUCGGGACUCUGCCGCAGUCCGCCUCGCACCACGUGUUGGACCUGCAAGUGUGAACAUCUCAAAGUCUGCUUAAGUCUUAAAAUCAACAUUAAAGGUGUAUUUCCCCUUUAAAAUGACCCUUUGUAUG